rnacentral:rRNA from 1 species
GACGAACGCUGGCGGCGUGCUUAACACAUGCAAGUCGAACGAUGAAGAAGAGAAACGCGAACUUCGGUUCAAAUUUCACUUCGGAUUAGUGGCAGACGGGUGAGUAACGCGUGAGCAACCUACCUCUUACAAAGGGAUAGCCUCGGGAAACCGUGAUUAAUACCAUAUGACACAUUCAUAAGGCAUCUUAAGAAUGUUAAAGCUACGGCGGUAAGAGAUGGGCUCGCGUCCCAUUAGCUAGUUGGUGAGGUAACGGCCCACCAAGGCGACGAUGGGUAACCGGCCUGAGAGGGUGAACGGUCACAUUGGAACUGAGACACGGUCCAAACUCCUACGGGAGGCAGCAGUGGGGAAUAUUGCACAAUGGAGGGAACUCUAAUGCAGCGACGCCGCGUGAGCGAUGAAGGAAUUCGUUUCGUAAAGCUCUGUUCUAUGGGAAGAAAAGGACUGUACCAUAGGAGAAAGCCCCGGCUAAAUACGUG